rnacentral:misc_RNA from 1 species
UCGUAUGUUAAAUUGUUUGAGGGAAAGAAAGUGAAACAUUAUACGACAUCGUUUAACAUUGAUGUCUUCGUAAUACGCAAACUCUACUAUUUAAAUUAUCGAUUUGUGAGCUUGAAUCUUUACAUUAAAUAAAAUUCUUUUUACACCGGCAACUGAAGAAUAAUUUUCUUUGAAAAGUUAUCGAUAACAAAUGAAAUUGAACGGGAAAUUAUGACUGUGAAAAAUAGGCAUCGCCGAGUAUAUUUUACUCUCAGACACGCCGUUUUUUGACGCAAAACACGUACACCAAAAAAUCUCGAGUACCGGUGAAGAAGAUUCCAGAGGAGCUGCUGAUCAGAUUUGUUGCCUUGUAGAUGAGGGUGAACGAUGCACUCGGCCAGCUGGCAACGCUUCUUAUAGCAAACGUAUUCAAAAAACUGUAACUCAACGACGAUUAAAACUUAAUCUUGAUCCAGUGGCACGUCAUAUAUAUAUUUGUGAUUAUCAUAAGCAAGUAAUACAAUGUGCAAGAUCUAAGCAACAACAGCAGCGUAGACGCAAGGAUUCAGAAGAAGAUUCGGGUGAAACAGAUAAUGAUCUUCCUGAAGUUGAUCUUUUCCAAUUACAAGUCGGUACACUGAGGCGAUAUAAAAGGCAUUAUAAAGUUUCUACACGUCCAGGUUUAAAUAAAGCUCAAUUAGCUGAUACUCUUAUGAAGCAUUUUAAGACCAUCCCUGUAAUUGAAAAAGAAGCAUUAAGCUUUUUCAUUUAUACAGUAAAAACCAAUGCCAACAAAUUGGAUCAAAAGAAUGGUUUAAGUAAUGAUACAACAUAGCCUAGGCCUCAUUUCAUGAGUUUUGUUACUGUAAUAACAUUUUAUUAGUAAGAUCAAAAAUAUAUGUAUGGAUUUUUACUUGUUAAUAGGCAUAGGUAUUUUAUAAGAGCUAUGUAUAAAAUAUAUAUAUAUUAGAAAUAUAACAAUACAUAAUAAAAUGUUGCUUAUUUAUACCAUUCAUUUUUAUUUUCUUUGUCAUUUGAAAAAUAUACUAUUUAAUAAUAAGUAGAUAAAAUAAUGAUUAAAUUAUAUUUUUAUAUAAUUUUGAUUUGUUAUUUAUUCAAUCAUUACAUUAAAUCCUUUAUUUCUAACAUUUCGAUAGUUUCUUCUUCACUGUCUCCACUUAAUUCUAAAACAAUUAAUAAUUGCUCGAUUAAUUAUUUAUAAAUCAUUUGUCAAAAAUGUUAUACAUCCAGAAAUGAAUUAUAUAGAAUACCUAUAUCUUCUAUUUUAUUUUCUUCUUUCUUUAUCUCCGCAGUAAUUUCAACAUCGUUUAUUUCUUCUUCUGAGGAUUCUGAUGAAUUCCAUGUAUUAGGUCCACCUUCGCCAAAUGACAUACUCUAUGAAAAUAAUUUUAAAAUGUUGAUUACAUUAGCCAUAUUAAAUUGUAAUGUAACCUUUUAAGUGAAUAGAUAUUUACUGUAUUUGAUAUUAACUCAGCAGAACCUUCUCCAGGCUUUAUAAUCGUACAAUUUUCAUCUUCUUUCUCUUUCUCUAUGUCAACUUAAAAACAGAAGUAAAUACAAAUGUAUGUAAGGCUGUGAUAGAUGGUUGUUUAGUAUCAUUGCUUUCACACUAUAUGGUUAUGAUCAAUGAAUUAUUUACCAUUAGAUUCUAUUUUUUCUAUCUCACCCCAUUUACGCAGUUUAAU